GUGUGUGUAGGUGUGUAGGUGUGUGUGUAGGUGUGUAUGGGAGGGAGGUGUGUAUAGGUGUGUGUAGGUGUGUAGGUGUGUGUGUAGGUGUGUAUGGGAGGGAGGUGUGUAUAGGUGUGUGUAGGUGUGUAUGGGAUUGUUAGGCCAAAGCUUUUCCUCUCAUUUCUUGGCAUAUUUUGCUAUGCUAUUUCACUGUGUGUGUGAGUGUGUUGUUUUGUGUCUCCCUCUCUUUCUCAUACUCUCUCUCUUUAAUCUCUAUUGCUCUCUUUCUCAUACUCUCUCUCUUUAAUCUCUAUUGCUCUCUUUCUCAUACUCUCUCUCUUUAAUCUCUAUUGCUCUCUUUCUCAUACUCUCUCUCUUUAAUCUCUAUUGCUCUCUUUCUCAUACUCUCUCUCUUUAAUCUCUAUCCCUCUCUUU
ensembl:lncRNA